rnacentral:rRNA from 1 species
CCCUUUGUGGUUGGUGGUACAGGUGGUGCGAUGGUUGUCGGUCAGCUCGUGUCGUGAGAUGUUGGGUUAAGUCCCGCAACGAGCGCAACCCUUGUCUUAUGCUGCCAGCACGUGAUGGUGGGACGUCAUGAGAGACUGCCGGGGUUAACUCGGAGGAAGGUGGGGAUGACGUCAAAUCAUCAUGCCCCUUAUGUCCAGGGCUUCACACAUGCUACAAUGGUCGGUACAACGCGUGUGCGACACUGUGAGGUGAGGCUAAUCGCUCUAAAGCCGGUCGUAGUUCGGAUUGGGGUCUGCAACUCGACCCCAUGAAGUCGGAGUCGCUAGUAAUCGCAGAUCAGCAACGCUGCGGUGAAUACGUUCCCGGGCCUU